GGCAGCAGUGGGGAAUCUUCCGCAAUGGACGAAAGUCUGACGGAGCAACGCCGCGUGAGUGAAGAAGGUUUUCGGAUCGUAAAGCUCUGUUUUUAGGGACGAAUGGUCUUUAUGCGAACAGUGUAGAGACAUGACGGUACCUAAAGAGGAAGCCACGGCUAACUACGUGCCAGCAGCCGCGGUAAUACGUAGGUGGCAAGCGUUGUCCGGAAUUAUUGGGCGUAAAGGGCGUGUAGGCGGGAUAGCAAGUCUGUUGUAAAAGUGCGGAGCUCAACUCCGUAAGGUCAAUGGAAACUGUUAUUCUUGAGUGCAGGAGAGGAAAGUGGUAUUCCCAGUGUAGCGGUGAAAUGCGUAGAUAUUGGGAGGAACACCAGUGGCGAAGGCGACUUUCUGGACUGUGUCUGACGCUGAGGCGCGAAAGCCAGGGUAGCGAACGGGAUUAGAUACCCCGGUAGUCCUGGCCGUAAACGAUGAGUGCUAAGUGU
rnacentral:rRNA from 1 species